AGACCUACGGGACGCAGCAGUGGGGAAUAUUGGACAAUGGGGGAGACCCUGAUCCAGCGACGCCGCGUGAGUGAAGAAGUAUUUCGGUACGUAAAGCUCUAUCAGCAGGAAAGAAAAUGACGGUACCUGACUAAGAAGCCCCGGCUAACUACGUGCCAGCAGCCGCGGUAAUACGUAGGGGGCAAGCGUUAUCCGGAUUUACUGGGUGUAAAGGGAGCGUAGACGGCAGCGCAAGUCUGGAGUGAAAUGCCGGGGCCCCACCCCGGAACUGCUUUGGAAACUGUGCAGCUCGAGUGCAGGAGAGG
rnacentral:rRNA from 1 species